AACGAACGCUGGCGGCGUGCCUAACACAUGCAAGUCGAGCGAGGUUAUUUUGGAAGCUUGCUUCCGAAAUAACCUAGCGGCGGACGGGUGAGUAAUACGUAGGCAACCUGCCCCUAUGCUCGGGAUAACUAGCGGAAACGUUAGCUAAUACCGGAUAAUUUGCUUUCUCGCAUGAGGGAGUAAUGAAAGACGGAGCAAUCUGUCACAAAGGGAUGGGCCUACGGCGCAUUAGCUAGUUGGUAAGGUAAAGGCUUACCAAGGCGACGAUGCGUAGCCGACCUGAGAGGGUGAACGGCCACACUGGGACUGAGACACGGCCCAGACACCUACGGGUGGCAG
rnacentral:rRNA from 1 species